CACAGGUGCUGCAUGGCUGUCGUCAGCUCGUGUCGUGAGAUGUUGGGUUAAGUCCCGCAACGAGCGCAACCCUUGUCAUUAGUUGCUACAUUCGGUUGGGCACUCGAAAGAGCCGGCGGGUGACAAACCGAAGGAAGGGGGGGAUGACUUCAAUUCCUCCUGGCCCUUAUGGGUGGGGCUUCCCCCGUCAUACAAGGGUACAUACGGAGGGCCGCCAACCCGGGAGGGGGACCUAAUCCCAAAAAGUGUAUCUUAUUCCGGAUCUCAGUCUGCAACUCGACUGCUUGAAGUUGAAAUCGC
rnacentral:rRNA from 1 species